rnacentral:rRNA from 1 species
CCUACGGGAGGCAGCAGUGGGGAAUUUUGGACAAUGGGCGAAAGCCUGAUCCAGCAAUGCCGCGUGAGUGAAGAAGGCCUUCGGGUUGUAAAGCUCUUUUGUCAGGGAAGAAACGGUGAGAGCUAAUAUCUCUUGCUAAUGACGGUACCUGAAGAAUAAGCACCGGCUAACUACGUGCCAGCAGCCGCGGUAAUACGUAGGGUGCAAGCGUUAAUCGGAAUUACUGGGCGUAAAGCGUGCGCAGGCGGUUUUGUAAGUCUGAUGUGAAAUCCCCGGGCUCAACCUGGGAAUUGCAUUGGAGACUGCAAGGCUAGAAUCUGGCAGAGGGGGGUAGAAUUCCACGUGUAGCAGUGAAAUGCGUAGAUAUGUGGAGGAACACCGAUGGCGAAGGCAGCCCCCUGGGUCAAGAUUGACGCUCAUGCACGAAAGCGUGGGGAGCAAACAGGAUUAGAUACCCUGGUAGUCCACGCCCUAAACGAUGUCUACUAGUUGUCGGGUCUUAAUUGACUUGGUAACGUCAGCUAACGCGUGAAGUAGACCGCCUGGGGAGUACGGUUCGCAAGAUUAAAACUCAAAUUGAAUUGACGGG